rnacentral:rRNA from 1 species
UACGAAGGGGGCUAGCGUUGUUCGGAAUUACUGGGCGUAAAGCGCACGUAGGCGGAUUUGUAAGUCAGGGGUGAAAUCCCGGGGCUCAACCUCGGAACUGCCUUUGAUACUGCAAAUCUCGAGUCCGAUAGAGGUGGGUGGAAUUCCUAGUGUAGAGGUGAAAUUCGUAGAUAUUAGGAAGAACACCGGUGGCGAAGGCGGCCCACUGGAUCGGUACUGACGCUGAGGUGCGAAAGCGUGGGGAGCAAACAGG